CGCUUUCAUACACUCUUAUACAGUUUAUGUUUACAAACAUGCGUAUAGCCUUACAAUUAAGACAAUAAUAUCUUGAACGCCAGCCAGACGCUUUAAAUCAGUAUGUAAAAAUAGAAUACGUGGUGUGAUUAUGAGUAAUUGAUAUAUUUAAAUCUAGUCGGCAAAUCCGUUGGACUUUCCUUAUUUGUAUGUGUGUGGGUUUUUUUGGGGGUUUUUUUACUGAAAACCGAUUUUGCUGUAAUGCGCUAUACGGGUAAAAUUAGUUCUAGUUCUCUUUACUGGUCUUAAUGAAACGCAAAGUUUGGUGAAAUUAAACGAUUUAAUAAACGUAUCUAUAUAAUUCGUGUUUUUAUUUAAUAUGUUCGGGGUUGUCUGCAAUUUUGCAUAACAAAUAUAUUUCGGGCUAGGCGCAGAAUAAUCUUUUCUGUGCAUUUCCUGACAUUUAAAUAUCCUCAAUAGUUUAUUCAAAAACUACAUAUGAAAAUCUGCAUAUAACCAAUAUGUCAAGUGAUAAAAUAUCUACGACUUUAGUCGUGGGAUUUCUAAAAAUCGCAUAUCUUUAGUUAGAUCUGCUUACGUAAUGAGCUAUCAGAAUCCCAAUUUACCCUGGCCAAUGAAAUAGAAUAUUGUAGCAGUUAUAAAUUAGGAAUCUUUGGAUAAGUUAUAUCAGACUUGUCCUGCUAUCUAUUAAAGAGUUUGUGCGUGUAACGUGCAAGUUAAAAUAAAAUAAUAAAAUAUAAUUCUUAUUGUAAAAGCAUGGUUUGGAUUUUAUUACUCAGCUGGAUGUGCCAAAUGCUAAGCACCCUCAUGUCUCUAUUAGAAAUGAUUAAAUCAGAGUAUGAUACAGAAACAAAACACAUGGAUACUAUCCCAGUCAGGCCAGCAUUAUACCAACUGUAUCUCUUCUUGAUGAUGUAGUAAAACUUCGCUAUAUGUGUUACAUGUUGAAGUAUACUGGUGCACUUGCGUUGUCUAUUGGAUUCUGCGUCCUCACAUGCCAGUAUGUCAAGCCGAAAUUCAGCAGUGUAAAAGAUAUAUGGAGACCUGCAGCACAGUUUAUUCCAUUACAGUUACUUGGAGUCGUUGCUUUAUUAGUUAGACUGGUUAUAUUGCUCUUCUACAAAAUCCAGCACGUAUGUGACACCGAUGAGAAAAGAAGUUUGGAACCAAACUACAUAAUGCUAGGAGUAGCCGUUUCCUUUGGAAUGAUAAGCAUAUUCAUCUAUAUCGGACAUGUUUUUGCUUUUACGUACAAAAAAUGUCUUCAACAUGAGAAGGACAAUGCAAAACAGCGAGCUAAUAUUACCUAUACCAACAUGUAUGAAAUUGCAGUACAUACAAGUAACACUCAAGGUGUUUCUGUCUGUUCAGGAUAUGUAAUUUAGAUAUCAGUUCAUUGCAUUGUUUUCACGUUGCUUUCAAGUCUUUCAGAACAAGUCUUCUUUAAAGGGUAUGUAUUAUCAUUUAAUAUUCCUUGGGUACAGAAAUGAUAUACCCUUUAAAAUAUGUGUUUGUAUAGCAUGUUUUAUAAAAG